rnacentral:rRNA from 1 species
CCUACGGGAGGCAGCAGUGGGGAAUAUUGGACAAUGGGCGAAAGCCUGAUCCAGCCAUGCCGCGUGUGUGAAGAAGGUCUUCGGAUUGUAAAGCACUUUAAGUUGGGAGGAAGGGCAGUCAGUUAAUACCUUGCUGUCUUGACGUUACCAACAGAAUAAGCACCGGCUAACUUCGUGCCAGCAGCCGCGGUAAU